rnacentral:lncRNA from 1 species
AAAAACUUGAAAACUUGAACUGGUUACAAAAUAUGGUCAUGAAUCUCUAGGUUAGCCAUGUGACAAUUGAUUAGUCGAGAUUGGAAACUUUUACAAAGGACUUUCACCAGGUUUUACCAAAAAAUAAAAAAUAAAAAGCUUGGAAGCUAGUAUUCACCAACCACUUUCAUCCCUGAAACAAUUCUUCAAUAAUUACAUGCAAAAAUUCCAGGACUUUCACCAAGUUUUUUUGUUUGAUGAGGAUUGAGUCUCGAAAUGAUUUAUUCCACGUACAAAAGCAACCAUCUGCACCAUAAAGUAAAACACAUAAGGGAAAGCAGGAAAUUCAUGUUUAUUAUACUCAAGGGCUGAUACAUAAUGGACUAGUAAAAAUAACACUAACAAAAUGCACAAAGACAAUAUCCCACAAGGCUAAGCUAACUUCAAACAUUUCAUAUCAUCUGAGCCCCAUAGGGAAUGUUAGCUAAAUAAACAAAAAUAAAGUCGAUUGUUGCAAUUCGAUUGUGUCAAUACGCAAAGAAUUUCAGCUAUUACACAAAUCAAGCUUACACUUGUCAUAGGGUAAAAUCAUGCAAGCAUAUAAUUCUUUUAUGAAGACGAUAAUCCCCACUUUUUGAGAAUGCAACCAAGUAUUUAGUAUCUUGUUGCAUCAAUA